GCCGAACGCUGGCGGCGUGCUUAACACAUGCAAGUCGAACGAAGUGGCGAACGGGUGAGUAACGCGUAAUCAACCUGCCCUUCCGAGGGGGACACCAGUUGGCAACGACUGCUAAUACCGCAUACUGAAGAGGGGGGUUGCGGCGGAUUAGCUCGUUGGAGGGGUAACGGCCCACCAAGGCGAUGAUCAGUAGCCGGGCUGAGAGGAUGAACGGCCACAUUGGGACUGAGACACGGCCCAGACUCCUACGGGAGGCAGCAGUGGGGAAUCUUCCGCAAUGGACGGAAGUCUGACGGAGCAACGCCGCGUGAGUGAUGACGGCCUUCGGGUUGUAAAGCUCUGUUAAUCGGGACGCGGUACCGGAAUAGAAAGCCACGGCUAACUACGUGCCAGCAGCCGCGGUAAUAC
rnacentral:rRNA from 1 species